GAUUUUCGAUUCGGUUGUUGUUAGAUAAGCAGUGGACGUUUAGCAUGCUGUUUUCUCUUAUAAAAAGUCAAUCCUAUGGAUUAACUUUUUAAUAAAAUUUGUGUUCGAAAUAAUUCCAAUUUAGCUGCACUGUAAGUACUUGGAAAACUUUUCCUUUAUCAUUAGUAUCACAAUCAUAAUAUUCUAUCAUGAUUAUUUUAUUAAGUCUUUCUUUUUCGAUCGGCUAAAAUAAAACAAUUUAUCUUUUUAAAAUUAGCUUCCAUUUAGUUCAUAUCAAUUAGUAAAAUCCAAUUAAUAUAGUCCUUUUAACUUCAGUGAAUAAGUGCGUAAGAAAAUAAGUUUCAUAGAUUGUAAUUUUUAUUUUACUUUUUUUUUUAAAAAAAAAACCGUUCAGUCAAUAAAUCAUUUGUAUGCGCAUGAGAUAAGAUAAAAUAAAUUGUAUCCAAGAGUUUAUAGAUAACGAAAUAGCUAACGACAAUUAUUUUAAAUUUCUUUCAACACGAAGGCUUUUCAAGUUGUGUAUCUGACGAUCGAUUUAUUGAAAUAUGAUAUGGGGAAAUAUCGCUUUAAACUCAUAGUGUGCGCUUUGUUCUAAAUGGAAAAGCUUCAAUAUGUCCAGAAAUUCCGACCAAGCGUUCAAUCUAACACGCUAUGAAUUGGAACAGUUUCAGCGGGCUCGCCGAUUCAAAACCGAACGUCGAGCUAGCUUGUGGAGUUUGGACGAAUCAAGAAGGCACAAACAAUAUCGUUUCUCGUCUACCCUUUCACCGGAAGCCCAAUUCGCAAUGAAAUUAGCCUCUGAAGAAAAAUACCAAAAGAAUAGAUCGCACAGCUCUAUUAAGUUUUUGCCGCCAUUAAAGUCUUCUAAGCCAGCUGGAGAUAGCUCAAGUCAUUCAGAACAGAGUGAUUUUAUCAAAGUUCUGCAAUGCGAUUGUGAAGAUGAUACCUCCAGUGUUUUCGAUGACGCCGCCAUAGAUGAAAUAGCUCGCCAGAAUAGUUCACAUGUUCAAAAUAUUAAACAGCGCGAGGAUGAGGCCUAGUCGUUUUUUAUCGCCAUUCUUAAACUCUUUCCAUCUAAUGUAUAUUUUAUACUUUUAAUAAUGAAAAAAAAAACAAGAAAAUUAUCUUUCAAUAAAUCUAUUUUUAAUUAUUUUAUAUGGUUUAUAGUACUUGGUCAUUUAAAAUUUGACUCUCUUUAAGCUUGAAAAAGCACCCAGUCGUUUAAGAGUGUUUUAGUUUGAUUUAGCUGAAUUGGCGUAUAGAAAAGUUAAGUGCUUCUCGACCGAUUUUAUUCAAGUAAAGAGAGUGACCAUUUUAACUCUAGCCAUAAAAAGAAAAAUUAAUAAAUCGAAUGGAAGCUGUAAAUCGAUUUCAUUCGAUCGCCUAAUGAGUAACCUACAGCUAGGAUUGUACUCAAAGGGCUUAAUAUUUCGAUUAUAUUUCUUUAUCAUAGGCCUAGACUUAAUUUGUACUCUUUCUUUGAGACCAUAGAUCAGAUAGUUGAUUAUUGUUUAUAACAACGAGUUAUCUAGGCUGAAAGAGAACUAAUAACCCUCUUUGCAUAUUUCAUAAUAAUAGAAUUUUAAGGAAAAAAAGGAGUGAAAGAAAAUAAUGCAUCAAUUAAUAAUCAAUUAAUAAUACUUCAAUAAACAGGCAUAUAACAUCUUUUCC
rnacentral:misc_RNA from 1 species